UAAGACAUGCAAGUCGUGCGACAGACCAGAAAUUGAUUACUUCGGUUUGAUUUUUCUGACGAUGAGCGGCGAACGGGUGCGUAACACGUGAGAAACCUGCCUUGAAGUUCGGGAUAGCUCGGCGAAAGUCGAAUUAAUACCGAAUGUGGCCCAGGGAUAGCAUUUUUCCUUGGUUAAAGCUCGGUCACAGAGCGCUUUAAGAUGGUCUCGCGGUCUAUCAGCUUGUUGGUGAGGUAACGGCUCACCAAGGCUACGACGGAUAACUGAUCUGAGAGGAUGAUCAGUCACACUGGAACUGAGACACGGUCCAGACACCUACGGGUGGCAGCAGUCGAGAAUCAUUCACAAUGGGCGCAAGCCUGAUGGUGCGACGCCGCGUGGGGGAUGAAGGGCUUCGGUCUGUAAACCCCUGUCAUCUGUGAGUAAGGUCUCGUAUAAAAGCUACGAGAAUUGAUAUUAACAGAAGAGGAAGGGACGGCUAACUCUGUGCCAGCAGCCGCGGUAAUACAGAGGUCCCAAGCGUUGUUCGGAUUUACUGGGCGUAAAGGGUGCGUAGGCGGUUAGAAAAGUUUGGUGUGAAAUCUUCGGGCUUAACCCGGAAACUGCACUGAAAACUAUUUGACUAGAGGAUCGGAGAGGAGAUUGGAAUUCUCAGUGUAGCAGUGAAAUGCGUAGAUAUUGAGAGGAACACCAGUUGCGAAGGCGGAUCUCUGGACGAUUCCUGACGCUGAGGCACGAAAGCUGGGGGAGCGAAGAGGAUUAGAUACCCUCGUAGUCCCAGCCGUAAACGGUGCGCACUUGCUGUGGGCGGAUUCGACCCCGUCCGUGGCGAAGCUAACGCGUUAAGUGCGCCGCCUGGGGAGUACGGUCG
rnacentral:rRNA from 1 species